CCUACGGGAGACAGCAGUGGGGAAUAUUGGGCAAUGGGCGCAAGCCUGACCCAGCAACGCCGCGUGAAGGAAGAAGGCUUUCGGGUUGUAAACUUCUUUUAUCAGGGACGAAGCAAGUGACGGUACCUGAUGAAUAAGCCACGGCUAACUACGUGCCAGCAGCCGCGGCAAUACGUAGGGGGCAAGCGUUAUCCGGAUUUACUGGGUGUAAAGGGCGUGUAGGCGGGAGUGCAAGUCAGAUGUGAAAACUAUGGGAUCAACCCAUAGCCUGCAUUUGAAACUGUACUUCUUGAGUGCUGGAGAGGCAAUCGGAAUGCCGGGUGUAGCGGUGAAAUGCGUAGAUAUACGGAGGAACACCAGUUGCGAAGGCGGAUUGCUGGACAGUAACUGACGCUGAGGCGCGAAAGCGUGGGGAGCAAACAGGAUUAGAUACCCCUGUAGUC
rnacentral:rRNA from 1 species